rnacentral:rRNA from 1 species
GUCUAUGGGCAGGCCAUCCUGAGCACACCCAAUCUCAUCUGAUCUUGGAAGCUAAGCAGGGUCGAGUCUGGUUAGUACUGGAUGAGAUGUCUUCAAUAUUAAAGGCAAAACUUCCUAUGCC